GCAUUGGUGGUUCAGUGGUAGAAUUCUCGCCUGCCACGCGGGGGGCCGGGUUCGAUUCCCGGCCAAUGCA
rfam:Astyanax mexicanus chromosome 25, whole genome shotgun sequence.